CUGGUCUCAAAUCAGGUAGGACUACCCGCUGAACUUAAGCAUAUCAAUAAGCGGAGGAAAAGAAACUAACAAGGAUUCCUUUAGUAACGGCGAGUGAACCGGGAAAAGCUCAAAUUUGUAAUCUGGCUGUCUUCGAUAGUCCGAGUUGUAAUCUAUAGACGUGUUUUCCGUGCUGGAUCGUAUCUAAGUCCCUUGGAACAGGGUAUCAAAGAGGGUGACAAUCCCGUGCUUGAUACGACGACCAGUGCUCUGUGAUACACGUUCUACGAGUCGAGUUGUUUGGGAAUGCAGCUCAAAAUGGGUGGUAAAUUCCAUCUAAAGCUAAAUAUUGGCGAGAGACCGAUAGCGAACAAGUACCGUGAGGGAAAGAUGAAAAGCACUUUGGAAAGAGAGUUAAACAGUACGUGAAAUUGUUGAAAGGGAAACGAUUGAAGUCAGUCGUGUUCUUCAGAUUCAGCUGGUUCUUCCAGUCUACUUCUGUUGAACGGGUCAACAUCAGUUUUGUCCGGUGGAUAAAGGUAGUAGGAAUGUGACUCCCCCGGGAGUGUUAUAGCCUAUUAUUGCAUACACUGGGUGAGACUGAGGACUGCAGCUCGCCUUUUGGCCGGUCUUCGGACACGUUCGAGCUUAGGAUGUUGACAUAAUGGCUUUAAACGAC
rnacentral:rRNA from 1 species